UGGGGGCAAGGAGGUGAUAGUUGGAAAGGGGUAGGGGAGUUUGAGUCGUAGCAAGGACUCCCACUCUCACAGAAAUUUUUUUUUCCCCUUCACAUAAAUGCAACCUUGUCAAAUCAAGGUGGAGUUUCAUGGUUGUUUAAUGAAAUCGCUUAUUAGCAGAUCGGCAUUGCACCUCCCGCCACCUCAUACUUUUCUAUUAGCAAAAUGAAUGCCUGGAAUAUUUCCUGUUUACAGAAUUUCUGCCAACAGGGUACCAGGUUGGAUUCCCCCCGUGAGAGGCAUGUGUGUGUCACACAGAAGGCAGAAGAGAAGCCAUAUCAUUGCUUCACCGCCAGCAGAAGGUUUAUGUGAGGGCACCAGCUGACAACAGGUCCACCCUGAGCCCACAGGUGAACAAGCCCCACCCAGUCUGUUGGAAGAUAAAAGACCUCAAAGAGGAGAGCCAAAAAUCCCUGAAGAUGACAGCCACCAACCCUCAGACACCUGUGACAGGCCAUCUCAGGUCACCUAGUCCUAGCUCACCUAUCAGCUAGCCAACGUUGCCCAGGAAGGAACUAUAGUCAGCUUUCAGCCACUAAGUGAAUAUUGGUUUGUUCUGCAGUAAACAUGAGAGAAUUUCUCUCUCAUUUUCCUAAGAAAAUGAGUGAGAAUGGUGCUGAUAGUAAAAAGAUCAAUAGUCAGACCGCCCAACAGUAUUUCAAAAUGCCACAAAAACAGAGCUUUGCUUUAAAAAAAAAAUUCCUUCAAAUAUUUUACCAUGAGCAGUAAUUGGGCAUUGAGUGUUAUUGUUGUCUAUUAUUAUUAUCAACUAACACUAGAGGGGAGUUGAACAAAGGUACCUUUGGAAGUGGACUGUACCUACCCAGCCAUAAGCAUGAAUGAACCCAGACGCCUACUCAGGCCCUGAGGGCUUCCCACAAAGAACUUUGACUUUGCUUUUUAUGAACCAUGACUUUUCUCCCUAAAUAACAGAAGCUUCCUGUCGGCAAAAGACCUGUCCAUUUCUCCUCUGUGGCUCUGGUCUGACGGUCCCUCUUACACACCAACUGUGCCAACAAUGUCUAUAAGAUCCAUUAUGUCCUAUCACCCUCUAUGUAUGAAACACCUAUAAAAAUAUUUUAUAGGUGUUCUAUAAAACUGUCUAAGUUUUUAUAGGAGUCCCGUAUAUAGGAUGACAGAUACCAUGGAUUACUGUAGUGGACAUUCAAUGACAAUAACAGUGACUCAAAAUUUAUUGUUGAUCGAUUCUCCUAUAAAAUAUCACAUUGAACCUAUUAUAUUUCUUCUCCAGUCCUUACCACAUCCAUAUUUGCCAACUCAAGUCUCUGCAGAUAGGGGAGAAAGGAUGAUUUUUGAGAAAGGAAUGAAGGAAAACAUUGUUCUUUAAAUUAAAAAAAAAAAAAAGAAAAUCAUAUGAUCCAGCAAUUUUGCUCUUAGGUGUAUACAUAUGCAAAAUGAAAA